CCUACGGGAGGCAGCAGUGGGGGAUAUUGCACAAUGGGGGAAACCCUGAUGCAGCGACGCCGCGUGAGCGAUGAAGUAUUUCGGUAUGUAAAGCUCUAUCAGCAGGGAAGAAAAUGACGGUACCUGACUAAGAAGCCCCGGCUAACUACGUGCCAGCAGCCGCGGUAAUACGUUGGGGGCAAGCGUUCUCCGGAUUUACUGGGUGGAAAGGGAGCGUAGACGGCAGUGCAAGUCUGAAAUGAAAGGCAAGGGCUCAAACCUUGGACUGCUUUGGAAACUGUGCUGCUGGAGUGUCGGAGAGGCAAGUGGAAUUCCUAGUGUAGCGGUGGAAUGCGUAGAUAUUAGGAGGAACACCAGUGGCGAAGGCGGCUUGCUGGAC
rnacentral:rRNA from 1 species